GAUGAACGCUGGCGGCGUGCCUAAUACAUGCAAGUCGAGCGAACAGACGAGGAGCUUGCUCCUCUGACGUUAGCGGCGGACGGGUGAGUAACACGUGGAUAACCUACCUAUAAGACUGGGAUAACUUCGGGAAACCGGAGCUAAUACCGGAUAAUAUAUUGAACCGCAUGGUUCAAUAGUGAAAGACGGUUUUGCUGUCACUUAUAGAUGGAUCCGCGCCGCAUUAGCUAGUUGGUAAGGUAACGGCUUACCAAGGCAACGAUGCGUAGCCGACCUGAGAGAGUGAUAGGCCACACUGGAACUGAGACACGGUCCAGACUCCUACGGGAGGCAGCAGUAGGGAAUCGUCCGCAAUGGGCGAAAGCCUGACGGAGCAACGCCGCGUGAGUGAUGAAGGUCUUCGGAUCGUAAAACUCUGUUAUUAGGGAAGAACAAAUGUGUAAGUAACUAUGCACGUCUUGACGGUACCUAAUCAGAAAGCCACGGCUAACUACGUG
rnacentral:rRNA from 1 species